UUAAGUUCAGCGGGUAUCCUCAUCUGAUUCGAGGUCAUUGAUAAACAUUGAAGGGGCAUUGAGCUCCUUUUUCCCAUACGGAUGAUUGGAAGCUAGCGCCACUUUAAAAGUCACUUUUACGAUGUUUAAGACGUCUUUGACACUGGCUACAGAGACCAGUUUGCGAGAACUUGACCAAUUAGAACGCCCUCCAUCACAAA
rnacentral:misc_RNA from 1 species